rnacentral:rRNA from 1 species
AGUGCGAAGCGACACCUGGACUGAUACUGACACUGAGGUGCGAAAGCGUGGGGAGCAACAGGAUUAGAUACCCUGGUAGUCCACGCCGUAAACGAUGUCAACUAGUUGUUGGGUUCCUUGAGAACUUAGUAACGAAGCUAACGCGAUAAGUUGACCGCCUGGGGAGUACGGCCGCAAGGUUAAAACUCAAAUGAAUUGACGGGGGCCCGCACAAGCGGUGGAGCAUGCGGUUUAAUUCGAAGCAACGCGAAGAACCUUACCUGGCCUUGACAUGCUGAGAACUUUCCAGAGAUGGAUUGGUGCCUUCGGGAACUCAGACACAGGUGCUGCAUGGCUGUCGUCAGCUCGUGUCGUGAGAUGUUGGGUUAAGUCCCGUAACGAGCGCAACCCUUGUCCUUAGUUACCAGCACGUUAUGGUGGGCACUCUAAGGAGACUGCCGGUGACAAACCGGAGGAAGGUCGGGGAUGACGUCAAGUCAUCAUGGCCCUUACGGCCAGGGCUACACACGUGCUACAAUGGUCGGUACAGAGGGUUGCCAAGCCGCGAGGCGGAGCUAAUCUCACAAAACCGAUCGUAGUCCGGAUCGCAGUCUGCAACUCGACUGCGUGAAGUCGGAAUCGCUAGUAAUCGUGAAUCAGAAUGUCACGGUGAAUACGUUCCCGGGCCUUGUACACACCGCCCGUCACACCAUGGGAGUGGGUUGCUCCAGAAGUAGCUAGUCUAACCUUCGGGGGGACGGUUACCACGGAGUGAUUCAUGACUGGGGUGAAGUCGUAACAAGGUAGCCGUAGGGGAACCUGCGGCUG